rnacentral:rRNA from 1 species
GACGAACGCUGGCGGCGUGCUUAACACAUGCAAGUCGAACGAGUGGCGAACGGGUGAGUAAUGUCUGGGAAACUGCCCGAUGGAGGGGGAUAACUACUGGAAACGGUAGCUAAUACCGCAUACCAUCGGAUGUGCCCAGAUGGGAUUAGCUAGUAGGUGGGGUAACGGCUCACCUAGGCGACGAUCCCUAGCUGGUCUGAGCGGAUGACCAGCCACAAUGGAACUGAGACAGGGUCCAGACUCCUAUGGGAGGCAGCAGUGGGGAAUAUUGCACAAGGGGCGCAAGCCGGAUGCAGCCAUGCCGCGUGUAUGAAGAAGGCCUUCGGGUUGUAAAGUACUGUCAGCGAGGAGGCGUUACUCGCAGAAGAAGCACCGGCUAACUCCGUGCCAGCAGCCGCGGUAAUAC